GCAGCAAUCACGCGCGCUAUGCGGGGGCCCCGGGGGCCCUUAGGAGAACUGCGUGGUCAAGAGGGCAGAGGACUUGGCGGGGCAAAGUUUCCCGCGGGCGCAAUCCCGGAGGCGGCAGCAAAAGGACAGGGCCGGCCGCGUGGAGAUCCUCUGAGCCCCAGGCCUGCCCUCUCGUGCUGCGGCUUCUGGGAGCCGGUGUCCCGCAGCCGCGGAUCUGCCCGUGGAGGGGCGACGGCAGGUGCGGGGACCGGACCGCCCUCCCGCCGAGGUGACGACCAAUGGGGAUCCGGGCCGGCGAGGCUGGGCCGAGACUCAGCCCGACGCGCCGCCCACUCUGGGCUGGCUCGGGAUUCGGGGCGCCAGGCGCAUGGAGCUGACCGGGGAACAGCGCGUCUGGUCCCCGCGCCCGCAGCCCGGGAGUGCGAAGGUUGGCCUCCGAUGCUGCGGAGGCGAGGUGGGCGACGCAACCUCAGGACGCCGGGCCGUGGGGAGGGGGAGGGGCGUAGCGUAAAGAGCCAGGUUGGAAUCGGGGUUCGGAGGACGCAGACCGCAGAGGCAACCUCAUCGAGACGAGCAUUUGCAUGCGGUACGCAGGUCAUUGAGUCACCGCGGCAGCGUCCUCGUGCGCGGCUGGAGAAUCCUCCGUGAAAGCGGAGCAAGGUCAGCCGGGCAGACCUUCAAGGACGGCGCGCGCGGCCCCUGCAUGCUAAUGGACUGAGGGACUGUCCCUGGGGCCUUGACUUCCAACUCUGGCUGAGCAGAAAUUCAGGGUCUGCCGUCCCGUUCCCCCACCCCACCGUGCACUAUCCCUACCCCCGCCGCUACCCUCUCACCAUCCCAACAUCUGCAGCUCGCGGCCUUUUGUCAAUAACCCCAUUGUCACCCAGAUAGUAGGACUUUGUCUCAUCCUUUGGAGCUAUUCAUAGACAGUAGGUCAACAGCAGGCCGCCUUCGGGUACUACGGUUGCCCAAAGCUGUAAGAAGUCACUGGGUCCAGCAGUGAGCACUCUGUGCUUCAGUGUAAGCUGGGGAAACCGUCCCCAGAGAUGCAACGGGAAGCCGUGCUAUCACAGAGAUCCUUACCUGAAAAAUGCCACCCUUACAGGGUUCCUUACAGCCAUCCCGACCCUGCGUAGGCUUGGGAGUCCACUACUAAGCGAUCCACUACUAAGGCGCCGUUCCCAGAAUAUGCUAGAACACUCCAGAGGUUCCAGAGUCAGGGCUGCUUUACACCGAACUUGACAAAACUUGAAUCACAGCAAGAAACGCAGCAAAGGUUUAAAAGUUAACAUUUUUGGCCCAUAGCUGGCCCUCUGUAUGCAUAACCAGGGCGAGGUGCAUUCAAGAAUGUCAGGUUGUGGGAGUUGGUGACUGGGAGGCAAUGAGUGGGCAGUGAGUGCGAUGUAAAGUGAAUAAGUAAAAAGUAAAUUUAAAAAAAAAAAAGGCGAGAGAUAGCCAUCUCUUCAGGCACAUUCCUGGGGUCAAUUCCGCAGGAUGGAAACACUCAGAGAAUCUGGUUACAGUUUAGUUCUAGGAACCUAAAUUGACUUUCAGAUCUGUCGCUAUUCAACCAUAUGGAAGAGCUUUAUAAAACGGGGUGGCUGACCCAGGCUAACCCCUUCCUCCGGUACUGUCACCUUGUUUCCUUUCAUUCUCCCUCACCAGCGGGUACCAUUCUGAGAACUGUCUUUGGAUGUAAGCUUCCCUGGAGAAAUGAACAAACCGUAUUACAGUAAUGAAUCCAAGUUAUUUCAUGAGACUUUUAAUUAAAGUGUAGUACAUUUACUAAACGAGUAUGGAGCAUCGAUAUCUGAGUCGCUGCAUUUUCAUAAGCUGAGCACGGUGAUGUGACCAGAAAAUGGCUCAGGAGUCUUCGUCACCCCCCUGGAUCUCCUCGUGCUCCUUUAUGGCCUCUGCACACCCAAUGGUUCUGAGGGUCAAACUCUAUAGGCAUCAGGUUUGCAAAGCCAGGGCUUUUACCCACUAAGCCACCUCACAGAGCCUCCUCUGACUUCCAAUACCAAACUAAACGCGUUUGCUGUUCGUACAUUUCCUGUAAAUGUAAAUGUGUCUGGUUUCCCUUGCUCACGGUCAGCUGUGAAGUCACCCAUGUCAUUGUUCAUGGAAAGGGGGACUCAUGUUCUCACACACACACCUUCCCCCGGGUCACUCAGCUUGAGUGUUAGUUAGCACAGGUGCUGCUGCACAUACGGGUUUCUGUAUGUGAUCAGCUGGCCUCUCUCUCUCUCUCUCUCUUUCUCUCUCUCUCUCUCUCUCUCUCUCUCUCUCUCUCUCUCUCUCACUCUCUCUUGGAUCAGUGGUUGUUCUCUAUGGCCCUGAUCACCGGUCCUUGAAGAGAACUGGACUCUGCCUUGGAGGUGAUUUGAAUCAUGAAAGGGAUUGAUUCAAGACAGCACUUGCUUGCUGAUGGCUUUGAAGAUAGAGGGAAGCUCUUGGCAAAGAGCUCAGAUGUCCUCUCAGAGCAGAGAUUGGCUCCUAGCCAAGAGCCAAGAGCCGCACCAAAAAAGAGUGAAUUCUCACAACAACCUCAAGAAGCUUCAAAGAGGGUCCUGAGCUCCAGCUGCCCUGACCUUGAUUUCAGUCUUUGAGACUCAUAAAAAAAAAAAAAAUGAGACCCCAUGGGGCUGGAGAGAUGGCUCAGCAGUUAAGAACACCGGCUGCUCUUCCAGAGGACAUGGGUUCAAUUCCCAGCACCCACAUGGCAGUUCACAACUGUAACCCCGAUUCCAGGGGAUCCAACAUGCCCUCUCAGAUAUGCCUGCAGUCAAAACACCUAUGCUCAUAAAGUAAGUCAUUUUAAAAAGCAUAAAAUUUAUAAAGAGAGAGAGACACCCUAGCAACACAGCUUGAAGCUGUAUGUGUGCGCCUUAUGAUACUAAAUGUGUAGUCCUUUUGCAAUGGAACAAAAUGUAUACAGUGCAAAGUUAGAGAUUGUGCAAUCUUUAUGAUGUACAGGACUGCAGCAUAGCUUUUUGCUUUUUGUUUUUAAGACCUUAAUAGGACCCAGUGUGUCUGUUAGGCAAGCAUUAUACUACCAUACUACUACAUGGCCACAUUAUCACUAUUACAUGGCCACACUAUCACUACUACAUGGCCACACUAUCACUACUACAUGGCCAUCACUAUCACUACUACAUGACCAGUGCUAUCACUACUACAUGGCCAGCGCUAUCUCUACUACAUGGCCAUCACUAUCACUACUACAUGGCCAGCGCUAUCACUACUACAUGGCCACACUAUCACUACUACAUGGCCACACUAUCACUACUACAUGGCCACACUAUCACUAUUACAUGGCCAGUGCUAUCACUACUACAUAGCCAGUGCUAUCACUACUACAUGGCCAUCACUAUCACUACUACAUGACCAGCACUAUCACUACUACAUGGCCAUCGCUAUCACUACUACAUGGCCAUCGCUAUCACUACUACAUGGCCAGCGCUAUCACUACUACAUAGCCAGUGCUAUCACUACUACAUGGCCAGCACUAUCACUACUACAUGGCCAGCACUAUCACUACUACAUGGCCAUCGCUAUCACUACUACAUGGCCAGUGCUAUCACUAUUACAUGGCCAGCACUAUCACUACUACAUGGCCAGCACUAUUAUUUCUACUGUUGACACACAUCUGGCAGCUGCUGCCACAAUCCAUUCCAAGCCUUCUCUCUGAUAGAUGCAUGCAUGCGUGCAUGUCAACUGGGCAUCCUCGUUUGGAAGAGAAAUUGUUCACUCAGAUAAUGUGUGGAUAUUCAGCUUCAGCGACUACUGCCAAAUGGUUUUCUGAAAGGGACAUAUUUUUAAGUAGAUAUUUGUCUCGCCAUCGCCAUCGCCAACCGAGGUGACAUGAGCAUCACCUUCUGACCUAACAGGGAAAAGAAGAGCACGGGGGUCACCGAGAGACAACAGCAGCCCCAGACGUCCUUACUCUCUGUUACUAGCAUGGAUCUGCAGGAAAUGAGAUUGGUGCAGGUGAUGGGCACAACUGAGGCUUUGUGACAACAUGUAAGGGGCGGGUCUCCAUCACUUGAUACUCUGCGGAAAGGCCAGGAAUAAUCUGGUACAUGUCUGCUGACACUGCUCCUCUAACCCAAUGGCAUUUGAAAUCCGAUUUCUUUCAGAUCUAAUCAAAGAGUUAUAUUUAACCCACUAGUUGCAAGUCUAGGGGAAUCAGAGACCUAAGGUCAUGAAAUGAAUAAGUUUGAAAACGUCGAUGCUAUGAACAGUGCAAAGCCGAAUGAUACUCUAGGCCGAUAAAGCUCUGGUCGUAGAUCUGCAGCUAACAGUCGGAAGGACUUAGCAGACAAAAGAGUAAACACGUGGCUAAGUGAUCGCAAUGCCAGAUUCGGGCGAACACCAUUUUAUAUUGUAAUUGCCAGGAAUGGGGACAGCUGCAUCAUUGUUUAAAACACACACUCAUGCACAAUUAAGCCGGGAACAAAUGUCAACAUUGGCACAAUCUGCUAAAUUACUGAUAACUGAUGGGAAUUACUCAUGCCGCGAGCAUUGUCUCCAGUAUAAAAUGGAACAGCCUGAAAGGAGGAAGGAACUUAGCAGUUUCUGUGGGCUUCUAGAAGCUGGCUUUUAUUUCAUGCGGCCCAACCACGGCCUGCCAGAUUAUGUAAGUGAUAUUCCAUGCAUGUGCUCAAGGCAUGUGUGAUAAGUGUGUGCUGCUCUUGUGCCUCCUUACAUUUGUGUUAACGAGUUAGACCUUUGAAGGCUGCUCUUGGCUUCCGGAGAGUGUUUGUGACGAAAGCAUCGGUUACCAUGUGAGCACAAAUGCUCCAGUUACAGCCUCACAAUCUACAGAGGCUGGGCUAACAACCUGAGUUCUGGUCCUGGGUUUUACAUCAUCCAUCCUGAUAUUUAAUCACUUAGCAUUGGGUACUGGAGCUAUGAUUUCUACCCCUUGUUCAUUGCCCCUAUGAAGUACAUAGACAUCAUUUCUAAUCCUGAACCUUCCUGCAAUGCCACCUCCAACCCAGGAAGCUCCUCCUUCCCACCUUCCAGCCGUCAGCCAACACAGCAGAGUGCAAAAAAGGUUCUGGCCCAUCUCAAGUUUGCCACAUUCUUGUAGCUAGCCAGGCACAGGCUGGCUGUGGGAUAAGGUCAUUUGGGUCCUGCUUAGAUGAUGUGGGCGCUAAAUGGAAUGCCAAACUUCCUUCACUCAUCUUAAAGACUGGGUCCUGGGAAGGAAAGAUGGCGUCAGUUUGUGCCUUCGCAGGAGAUUAGCGUCCAGUGAGGAAGUCGGGUGGACAAGCCUUUAGGAUAAGCCAGUGGGAGUGGCUGGGAGGGGUGGUGGGACUGCACAGAAGGUCUGUCUGGAGGAAGUGACUGGGGCUUGCACAGGAUGGGAAAGGAUGCUCAUUCAGGUGCCGACAAUGCUCUAGGUGAGAGCAUGAGGUGAGUAGAGGCUCCAGCAGGGGCUGUGUCAAUGCUGGCUCCAUGCACCUUAGAGACAAGGUUGGUGGGUGAGCCUGAGGCAGAACCUUGGGAGCUGGGACUCUACCCAUGGACUACUGCAAAACUGCAUCUUUGCUAUCCAUGCUUCAAGCUGAUGGACCCUUGUCUGAGACAUGGAAGGCUCUUAGUCUUCUAGUCCCUACAGGCAUUGGGCCUCACUCCUGGCAUUCAGUCCCUCGUCCUAUCAGCAGGCAGUACUAAGCAACCUAAGGCUCCAUCCUUUGCCUUCUUCCAUGGAAGCAGGAGAAGAGGAGUGAAAUAUGAUCAGUGUUUUGUAAAAGCUGUCACGUUAUUAAGUGUCUCAUCAUUCAGUUCAUUUGAGAUCCAUGGCAGGAGGUUAAGCGUGGCUAGGGAUGGUCCUCGGAAGAAUUACACAGUUCCUAGAGCUUGUGUAUGCUGUGCACUGCCCCUGCCUUCUGGGACUCUGUCCUCCAGAUGGCUGGUACAAGUCGAUGCUGUUCUCUGCUCUUCCAGUCUCCCCUCUUGGGAGAGACUCUGAGAAGUCUCAUCUAAUGCCUUGAUGGAGAGACUGAAGCUAGAGUAUCAUCUGAGAACGUCGUCGUCGACGUCGCAUCCCAUUCGAAUUGUGUUCCCAGCGCUGUAGAGGAACACACACUACUGACAUCCUAAUCACAGCCUCGGGUACUUUCAGCCACUGCGGCUGGUUUCCCCAUGGAACACAUACUUGAUUUUCUAACAGAACUAAAGGGAAUGGGAACAGAAUUUGCUGUUCAGAAAAUUUCUUGCCUCUUACGAGCCAAUGCUCCAGACCGAUGUGCUCUGCCUGAGAACCUGAGCAGAGGCCCCAGUCAGUGACAUGUGUGGUCAUCAGUUUGACAGUCGGGCUAUGACAUGAGUUUACCCUGACUCAUUCUCACGAGCGAGCCAAGUGAACAAUGAAAAAUAACAGGAACCGGCAUGAUCUCAAAAGGCCAGAUGCUAAGUGUCACACAAUUCAUGAAGCAUAGUUUCCAUAGCCAGUGUUUCACUAAGUUUCUCUAAUGUGGAAGCAUGGCCAACCCACAAGUAGAGCUGGCCUGUGGGCUGUGUCGCAGGCUCCACUCCACAGCGGAAUAUGCAGAACCUGUGCACAGACCUAGCCUGGACAAUACAAAAGGCCUUCCCUUGGUUUAUACAUUGUCUCCACAAAGGCUCGAUGAAUCAUAACAUAUGAACCUAUUGUCUGCUACCAACCCGUCAGAUUUAUUUACCCUUGUGUUGGACCUGGAGCUCACGGUAUGACACUUAUAUGCAUAAAUGACCCUCUGACUGUGACCUGCAGUCUCAUAAUACUUGUCUCUGGUCACCAUGGGUUACAAAGCAAGUGUUCUUUUGGUUGUCUGAUAUGACCCCAUCUUCCUCCUUGGAGACAAUAGACUCUUUGGGUCCUGAAGACCAGUGUCAAGCCGCAGAGCACGAGCCACAGGGAAAUUAAUUAGUACAUUCGGUGUGGUAGAUACUUGUGAUUCUGGGAAGUCAAUUGAGGAAGUGCAGAAAGAGACUGAGAGACUCUCACGUGCGCGGUUAUAAUCAUCAAGUUCAUGGUGAGGUAAUAAGCCAGUGUGGCCUCCUUGCCUAGGGUAGAGACAAAUUUCUUUGUUGACUGAGUGCCUUGAUGUUCGACUCCAAAGGCUGUGACAAGGCUGGAGGAGGUGGCCGGGUGGUGUCGCACAGCCUGGGGAGCACUGAGAACCGUGGCGCAGGAAUAAAAGCAGCUUGUCAGGAUCAAAUGUGACCUUAGAUGGGGGAAGUCUUCUCACUAUUACACACUCAGCGAAAGGGUGACAUUGGCCAGGUGUCCACUGUUCUCCCCUGUCCCCUCCAGCUUCUCACUCAAGCUCUCUGAUCUCUGUCCGACUCUUCAGUGGUCGCAGUCCAGCCCGAACUGUGGCUGCUUUUCUUCCACCAAAACCUUGCUGCCAUGGGUCUCGCCAUCCCACCUUCUCGGCCAGGUCAGAAGCCUGCUGGGGCAUAUGGGCGGUGGGCAGGACGCAGGCUCAAGUGCCAAGCCUGGUGCUGCCACGGACUGGCUGUCUGUAUCAAUCAGUUAACACUAGACUUGAGGAACUUUGGAAUUUUACCUGAAUAUCUUCAGAUUCUUAGCAGAUAUCAUUUGCAUAGAUGCAAACAAGAGCCGCAUGAAUUUGAGAGCAAAUUUAAAAUACAUUAGGACUCAAUAAUCGCAUGAUGUUCAAAAUUACAAUAGGACUCAAUGAUUCUUUUCUUUGUAACCUUUGUAAAAAGUAGAACAUAUGCUCCAAAGAGGACAUCAAAUCAAUCCUGAUGUGCGGCUCUCUGUUAAUAAUCACAGCAUGAAGAUGACCAUGUAAGAAAAACAAUGAAGGAGAGAAACCGCCCAGCACCUGCGGCCCCUCGUCUUCCUCCAGGCUCAGGUGCCAUAUUGAACUCUUUCAUCUCUGCUACUCUUCCGGGCCCCGUGUCUUCUGUGGUACACCCUGGGCCACCUCAGGAAACACACAGUGGAAAGAGCAUGUCCUUUGGGUCCUACCUCCAAAAGUCUCUCUCGCCUCUCCCACUCACUAGUUUUGAAGGUCUGAUAAGAUGUAUUAUCUCCCUAUGGGUCUCUAAGCACAGUCCUGGGGAACCACAGGACAGGGAGUAGCCAGUGAACUUUCCCAUACAUGCUCUGAGGACCUCUAAAUCCCUGUAUGGGAAGUCACUGAGUUUGGUUCACAGGUUGCCUCUGUGAUUCCCACGAGGGAGGGAUGGUUAGUCUGGUCUCAAACCCUAGUCAUGACAGGUUGGAAGCUGUUUUGGAGCUCUGGUGCUGUUGAGUGUGACCCAGAGGUGACAAGACCAAGGACGGGAUUCAGAAUUACCUAGAGUCCCAAAGACAUCUGAAUGCAAGCUUGGGCCAGAGUGCUGGUCCUUAAAAGAGAUUAUCUUCAUUAAUAUUUAUCUCAGUCUUGCUAGGAUGUUUCCUAAACAGACAUAUAAAUGCUAGCCUUAUGACACUUGCUAAUAAAAACCAAAUCCUUUGGCUUGA